rnacentral:rRNA from 1 species
UACGUAGGGUGCGAGCGUUAAUCGGAAUUACUGGGCGUAAAGCGUGCGCAGGCGGUUCGCCAAGUCAGGUGUGAAAUCCCCGGGCUUAACCUGGGAAUUGCGCUUGAAACUAGCGGGCUUGAGUGUGGCAGAGGGGGGUGGAAUUCCACGUGUAGCAGUGAAAUGCGUAGAGAUGUGGAGGAACACCGAUGGCGAAGGCGACACCCUGGACUCAUACUGACACUGAGGUGCGAAAGCGUGGGGAGCAAACAGG